GGGGACCCACCCCUAUCUUCCUAGGAUUUCUUUGCCUCCUGCCUCUAUUAAUUUGCAAGCAACACAAGCUCAUGAAGGGGCUCCAGUCCCUCUCCAGAUUCCAGGGCUUUGUGGUGUGGCAGGAUGAGUGGCCACACUUGAAAGACUCAGGAGACAGCGAGGUUUAACCUAAAGCCAUGAGCUGGGAAUCCACUCAAGCAGGAGGCUGAAAAUGCAAAUAUAGGAAAGUACAGUGACUGUGGAGUGGGGAUGCUGCAAGGCAGCCCGCACCCUUUGCCUCUGAAAUAACUACUUUUUGGAGGUGCCAGAGGAGAGAAUCGGUGGAGCGCCCUCCUGGAGUGGGAUCACAGCACCACCCAAGCCUAGAAUCGUCAUCUUCUGGAUCCACUCUCCAUCCUUCUCUACUCUGUCUGUGCUGUGGGAGGCUGACCCCAUCUGUUUACUUCAGUGGAGCACUAGAGCCUGCAAGAACUGAUUGUAUGCAUCUCCUCCUAACUCCGUGUUUGGUGACUGUGGUAGGAAUAUUUACACUAUGGACACUGGCAAAUACUACAACCUACAGCACCCAGUAUUCCCAGGCAGUCUUCCAUCUAAGGACUAACCAGGCUUUAUCUUGCUUAGCUUCCAAGGCCAGGUGAGAUCGGAUGCAUUCAGGUUGGUAUAGCUGUAGAUAGCCCCACCUAUUUAUACCUUCACACUGGGGGUUAUGUCCCAACAUAGGAAUUUUUUUGGGACACCAACAUUCAGACCACAGCAGGAGUGUUGGAGACCAAUUAGAAUGUUGACAUUUGAUAAUUGCCCUCUUCAAAACUGGCUGAAGAGAAAGGAAUCUGACUGAUUUUUGAAGCUAGUGCUCUUUUGCAGGUGCCAUCACCUGUUUGUUGUGUGAACUUGCUCUCUGUCCUCCUGGAGUCAGCUACUAAAACUUCUCAUCCACAGUGCUGGCCCCUGAAUCCUGGCUAACAAAGCCUUACCCUAUGGACAGGAAGAGAAAUGAGACACAACGUUGCCCAGGAGCUGGGUAUUGGUGAUGACUCCAAGCCCUACUUCUCUUCCACUUGCUAGGGCUCUGCUUGCUCCAUUGGUUGCCAAAUCCACAUCUGGAUUUUCCUGUUCACUGGGCCCGUUUCGACUCAUGAUUUGCUUUGGACUUUCCACUUGGUUCUAUGCAUUGCUCUCUGUGAUGAUCCUGGUGGUUCAGCCUCUGCAUUUUGACACAGAAAGCCCCUGGUAGCAGUAUGGAUGGCCAUGUUGGCCUGGACCUGAAGAACACUGAAUCUCACCCACCAGGAACUGGACUCCCAAACUCCUGGCUGCUGACUCCAGGAAUUCCUAUAGCUAUAAAUGUCUACAUUGUUUUAUUUUGAUUCCACUUUGUUUAUUUGGAUCUGUGUAUCUGCCUCUGAACUCUGUAUCUUGUAUCUUUUAUUUUUAUUUUAUUUUUUUUUUUGACACAGGGUCUCACUCUGUUGCCCAGGCUGGAGUGCAAUGGUGUGAUCACUUGAGCCCAGGAGGUUGUGCAGCCUCAACCUCCUGGGCUCAAGCAAUGGGUAGCCAGGACUGCAGGCUAGCGCCACCACAGCUGGCUAAGUUUUCAAUUUCAUGUAGAGGCAGGGUCUCCUUAUAUUGCCCAAGAUGAUCUCGAUUUCCUGGGCUCAAGCGAUCCUCCCACCUUAGCCUCCCAAAGUGCUGGGAUUGCUGGUGUGUGCCACCACGCCCAGCCUCUUGUACCUUUUGUAAUUGUUCCUUGGCUCCAACUACUACACAGGGGCAUGAAGGGGUAUGGGCCACCCCUAGCAGGGCCUCUCUCAUUCUUUCCUGUCUAGAGACGCAGAAUGGGACCCUUAGAGAGCAAUGAUCUUCUUCGUUGCUCCCUGGGUUAAAUAGGAAACAUAACACCUGCUCUGUGAGUCUUACUGAAAUCCUAUACCUCCAACUGUUCAUGGAUGUGAAGUUAUUUAAAUACUUUGGGAGAAAGUACAAAUCUUGUUACUUUUUAAAGGAACUGCUAAAGUACUUUGGACACUGUGCUUUUCAAUAUGAUGAUUUGUUAGGAGACUCACUCAGAGGCUUCCCCAGCAGGUGCUCCGGUCCCUUGCUGAGGGCACUGCAGCUUGGGUGAGAGGACCGAAGUCAAGACCUGGUUCUGCCUCAUUCCAGGUUGUGACUCAGGUCUCACAUUUCCUCCUCUGUGGAAUAGGAACAACAAUAAUACCUGCCUGACGAGGUUGUGGUGAGGAUCAAAGGAGAUGCUGUGAAAGUGUGAACGAAAGGCAAUUGCCCUAAUUAUUGUGUGUCAUGUACCCAUCAUUGCAUUAAUUACAGUGGAGAAUGGGCAAGGGCUUAAAGAACACAGAAGACUUGGUUCUGCUCCUGAAGAUUUCAUGCACAGAAAGAAAAUAACUGAGGAAGCAGCCAGUGCUGUUGGCAGUAGAGUUCUAUGAGGGCUAGGAGUUGAGGGUGUGGCAGAAGAAGGGUUAAAGGUAUGGGACAACAUCAAAGGGUCCUCUGGGGUGGUGGAGAGGCAAAGAAACUGGCAUCAGGUGGGCACUUAGGGACCCUGUAAAGGGGUAGAAAGAGUAACAGUAGGGACAUUGAGUCCGGCUUCUGUGCCUGAGAUCCCAAGCCAGCUGUCAGCA
rnacentral:lncRNA from 1 species